UCUUCUGCGCAUGGCGCCGCCGCCUUGGAUCGGCCCUCCGUCGCGUCGCUUCGGUCGUCACCACGCAUCUCAGCUCCAAUAACCAGGUCGUGAUGGCUGACGACGAGCUCCAGGUUCAUGGCUCACCAGGCUCCACUGGCUCCACAAACAGCUGUCUGCAGGCACUUGCAUAGAACAGUUCUUGACAGCCUCCUAGCACACCUUGGGUGUGCUAUUAGAUGGGGCCUCUCCUAAUUCACAACUGCUCCUAUGCCUAUCAAGGUGAUUUCAUCUUGCUGUACAUGUAUUGCACUUCCAGGAUGCUUGAGUGCAGAAAUUAUUGUAUUCCAUAUAUCUCACAAUUUGUUUGUAUCGGGUUCACGUGAGGCAGAUGAAUUACGCCACA